rnacentral:rRNA from 1 species
UACAGAGGGUGCGAGCGUUGUCCGGAAUCACUGGGCUUAAAGGGCGCGUAGGCGGGUAUCCAAGUCUAUGGUGAAAUCCGGCAGCUUAACUGUCGAACUGCCGUGGAUACUGGGUAUCUCGAGGGAGGUAGGGGCGUGCGGAACUAUUGGUGGAGCGGUGAAAUGCGUUGAUAUCAAUAGGAACUCCGGUGGCGAAGGCGGCACGCUGGACCUCUUCUGACGCUGAGGCGCGAAAGCCAGGGGAGCAAACGGG